rnacentral:rRNA from 1 species
GACGAAGGGGGCUAGCGUUGUUCGGAAUUACUGAGCGUAAAGCGUGUGUAGGUGGUUGUCCUAGUCAGGCGUGAAAGCCUUGAGCUCAACUCAAGAAAUGCGCUUGAUACUGGGCAGCUAGAGGACCGGAGAGGAUAGUGGAAUUCCCAGUGUAGUGGUGAAAUACGUAGAGAUUGGGAAGAACACCAGUGGCGAAGGCGGCUAUCUGGACGGUUUCUGACACUAAGACACGAAAGCGUGGGGAGCAAACAGG